rnacentral:rRNA from 1 species
ACGAAAAGUACUAAUCAAAUUAAAUAAAAAUGGUGAAAACAAAAGAAUAGCGAAGAAGAAGCAAAUGCGCUUCACGCUAAUUCCAAGUACCAACACAAAACAAAUUCAAUGUUUGGUGAAGCAACUUGCUUAGUGGCGGACGGGUGAGUAACGCGUGAACAAUCUGCCCCGUACAAAGGGAUAGCCUCGGGAAACCGGGAUUAAAACCAUAUAACACUUAACUGCCGCAUGGUAGUGAAGUCAAAUCGAUUAAGAGGUAUGGGAUGAGUUCGCGUCUGAUUAGCUAGUUGGUGAGGUAAGGGCUCACCAAGGCGACGAUCAGUAGCCGGCCUGAGAGGGUGAACGGCCACACUGGAACUGAGACACGGUCCAGACUCCUACGGGAGGCAGCAGUGGGGAAUAUUGCACAAUGGAGGGAACUCUGAUGCAGCGACGCCGCGUGAGUGAAGAAGGUCUUCGGAUCGUAAAACUCUGUCCUUGGUGAAGAAAAGGACGGUAGCCAAGGAGGAAGCCCCGGCUAACUACGUG